GUCUAUGGCCAUGCCACCCUGAACAAGCCCAAUCCCAUCUGAUCUUGGAAGCUAAGCAGGGUCAGGCCUGGUUAGUACUUGGAUGGGAGACCAUCUAGGAAGACCAGAUGCUGUGUGCA
rnacentral:rRNA from 1 species